rnacentral:rRNA from 1 species
UACGUAGGGUGCGAGCGUUGUCCGGAAUUAUUGGGCGUAAAGAGCUUGUAGGCGGUCUGUCGCGUCUGCUGUGAAAAUCCGGGGCUCAACCCCGGACUUGCAGUGGGUACAGGCAGACUAGAGUGUGGUAGGGGAGACUGGAAUUCCUGGUGUAGCGGUGAAAUGCGCAGAUAUCAGGAGGAACACCGGUGGCGAAGGCGGGUCUCUGGGCCGUAACUGACGCUGAGGAGCGAAAGCGUGGGGAGCGAACAGG